rnacentral:rRNA from 1 species
AUUGAACGCUGGCGGCAGGCCUAACACAUGCAAGUCGAACGAGUUGCGGACGGGUGAGUAAUGUCUGGGAAACUGCCUGAUGGAGGGGGAUAACUACUGGAAACGGUAGCUAAUACCGCAUACCAUCAGAUGUGCCCAGUUUGGUUUAGCUAGUUGGUGGGGUAACGGCUCACCAAGGCGACGAUCCCUAGCUGGUCUGAGAGGAUGACCAGGGAAACUGGAACUGAGACACGGUCCAGAGUCCGACGGGAGGCAGCAGUGGGGAAUAUUGCACAAUGGGCGCAAGCCUGAAGCAGCCAUGCCGCGUGUAUGAAGAAGGCCUUCGGGUUGUAAAGUACUUUCAGCGGGGAGGCGUUACCCGCAGAAGAAGCGCCGGCUAACUACGUGCCAGCAGCCGCGGUAAUAC